UCGCGGCGGCGUGCGCAGAAGGGUCUGGGCUCGAGCCUGCCUGGAGCCGCCGCCGGUGCAGAUCUUGGUGGUAGUAGCAAAUACUCCAGCGAGGCCCUGGAGGACUGAUGUGGAGAAGGGUUUCGUGUGAACAGCCGUUGCACACGAGUCAGUCGAUCCUAAGCCCUAGGAGAAAUCCGACGCCUACGGCGACGGGAUUUUUGAAAAAUUAUGAAACCCGUUGAUCGGGCGAAAGGGAAUCCGGUUCCUAUUCCGGAACCCGGCAGCGGAACCGCUGUUUGUCGGGCCCUCACAAGGGGUUCGUCAGGGUAACCUAAAAGGGCCCGGAGACGCCGUCGGGAGCCCCGGAAAGAGUUUUCUUUUCUGCAUGAGCGUUCGAGUUCCCUGGAAUCCUCUCGCAGGGAGAUAGGGUUUGGAACGCGAAGAGCACCGCAGUUGCGGCGGUGCCCGGGAAUUCCCGACGGACCUUGAAAAUCCGGGAGAGGGCCACGUGGAGGUGUCGCGCCGGCUCGUACCCAUAUCCGCAGCAGGUCUCCAAGGUGAAGAGCCUCUAGUCGAUAGAAUAAUGUAGGUAAGGGAAGUCGGCAAAUCGGAUCCGUAACUUCGGG
rnacentral:rRNA from 2 species